rnacentral:lncRNA from 1 species
GGGGUCAUCAGUAAGGCACUCAAUCACCUUAAUAUCCUGUGACACCCCUUAUAAGGCUGCUGUUAUGUUCUGGUGGUUGUCAGGAAUAAAUGUACAACAUUGCGUCUCUACAAGGGCACAGCUGCCACAUUGGGCAGCUCUGACCAUGUCUAAGGCCAUCCGGUUUUGCAGAACCAACUUCCUGAUCUGAUUGACUUCAUCAGUUAACAAAAAGGAGAGCAACUCGGGUGUAAUUCAGGGCCCAAACUGUGUGCUCUGCAAGGGCUGUAACUUGCAUUUCUACAGUAGCGACACCUGCUCUAGGGAUAGUUAUCGCUUAGGGGUAGAGUCACUAGGGGGCUUGCUGAACUCGUAAAAACCAGGAACAUAGCACCUUCCAGUUAGGUGGAUGACUAGGCAAUGUGGGAAACACAGUGGCAGGCACAGAAAGCCACCCCCAGGUACAACGUCCAGUCCAAUUGGCUGGUAGAUAUGGCCAUCCUGUGUCCCCACAGACCCAUAAACUCCCUGGGGGCAUAAAGUCCAUGAAGGUCCAGCCUUGGUAAGGCAACUUAUUCCACCACACCCUUGGUUUCGCGGCAUGUGUUAUGUUUGCACAAACCUCAGCAAUAAUCCCUCAGUGACUUUACCCCAGUGCUCCCCUAUACAUCAUGGUACCUGCAAUGGGGGCACCACAUGUUUUCCCGUUAGCCAGCCCCAUCCAUCAUGGACACUAUAAGUCAGCCAGUGGCAGGCUUGCCAUGGGUUUUGGGACGUCCCCCUAUCCAAAGCCCACCAUUGCAUUGUCUAUUGAACACCAAGUCUCUAGCCAUGUCCAGUUCUGCACAGAAGCUGGAUGCACGUUCCAGGGCAAGCUGCCUGCAGCUGCUGCUGAAAGGGUGGUGCAGAUACAACAGUUGAAGACAUUGGUCACCUCAGUGUAGGUGUGGGCCCAGAACAUGAUGCUGUUGGAGCAUGCCACCUAUGGCUGGAAUGACAAAGCAAGCACAGGUACUAACAGGGGUAAAUCAUGUCCCUCAGGCAAAAUACAGGCCAACUUUUCACCUCUCGAUAACAGUGCAGCCACCAAGGGCAUUUGCCCUGGGUGAUGAUACCACACCUUAUCAGCUCCCUGUGGUCCUUUUGGGUGCUGUACCCAUGCCAAACACACAGGGGAGCUUAUGCUAAGCCACACAGACAGUACACAUGCCCUCUGGAGGAGAGUCUCUUCCCUGGCCGUUCCCCUAUGCAUGGUUAAUUGUGGAGGCCACACAUUAAAUACCCAAGGAGUAACAUGUAAGUUAUACUGCAGCCCCUCCCCCCAGGGGGCUAUGAUAGCCAACCAUCUGCAAUGAGGUGCUUGGAGGGUCCAUGGCUAACACCAGGUUUUUCUGUUCCCCUGCCUUUAGGGGUACUGGGGCAGGCAAUAACAGAUUACUGUUCAACCCUGUACCUGGUUGGAGAAGGUUGUUCUUCCUCUCAUAGAUCUGGCCACAUGGCCUGGCCCUACAUGGGUCGAUGACUAACUAGCUAAUUCUGUAACUUCUAGGUAAUUAACCACAAAGUUAAGCCUUGAUAAAUUGCCUAGCUACUAGUACAGAUUACCACAGGUGUCAUCUCCUUGGUGAUCACAGUCCAUAUUGCCUUGAGUUCAACUUAUUAGCUACUUUAUUUACACCUGGUUUUAAACCAUAUUGUGUCAGUACUAGGCUGGACUGUAGCAGCAAUCCAGGCAGCAGCAGUACUCUGGCUAUACCUACCUGUAUACUAUGCCUCAUUAGGAAUGGGAGGAUGCCCUUCCUUAUGGUAAAGGCUCAGGGUCUAGAGGUGCCUCAGACCCCAUGACUUUAUCUUGCAUUAGGACUAUAGGCUUCAAGACCUAUUGUAAUUUUACUCCUAAGAGACCAGUACUCAGUGUACUCUGCUGCUCUAAGUAGGUGCCCCACUUCGCUAAAGUGGAUGUCUGUGCCUUCCCUAUCCAGGGGGUUGUUUCCCAUGAAUGCCCAAUCUCACAAUUACUAACUGCUUCUCUAUCAAGGAAUACUGGGGCUCAGCUCCCUUCCACAGCUGGGAACAAAAGCCUAUUGGCAUACUCAGGUGCUCUAUGCACUGCUAUAGGCCCUAACUGAAACUCUGUUGUCACAGGCACAUCUAGUUUAAAUGGGCACCUCUGGUCCACUACCCGUAUGGCUUGUGCCUGCUAAAUAGCCCGCUAGGCUACCAGAAAGACUGUCUCAGGAGCAUCAUCCCAAUCCCAGGCAAGAAGAACAUUGCCACUUCUAAAUCUGCAGGAGAAUCAGAGGUUAACAUGACAUCAUUAAUAAAAUAAUGACACGUGGUGGGGCUAUGAAUAUAGCCCUGCAGCAACACUGUGAAAGUCCAUUGUCACCCUCCCAUGAAAGCAAACUGUUCCUGCCUCUCUGGAACAAUGUCGACUGAGAGGAAUGCAUUGGUCAAUUCCACCACAUAGUGGCAUUGUCUCAGUUCUGUUGUCAAGAAGUUCAUCAAAUCCAUGAUAGAAGGUACAGAUACAUGCAGAAGGAGUAUUACUUUAUUCAGUUUCCGAUAAUCCACUGUUAUCUGCCAAAUCCCAUCAGGCUUUCUGACUGGCCAUAAUGGAAAAUGGUAGGGGCUAUGGAUGCCACACACUAUUUGCACCUCCUCUAACUUCUUAAUAGUCUCAGUUACCUCUGUAUUCCCCCCUGGCAAACGGUACUGAUGAGUGGAAGUAACCUGUCAGGGUUGUGGCAGAACUUGGGGCUGGUGAUGUGUAUGUUCACCCAGUACUGGCUUUACUGCAUGGACUCAGAAUCUGGAUUCUCUGGCCGUGGUGUGCAAGCCCAGACCAUGCAAAAUGUCCACCCCCAGAAUAUAUUCAGGUAUAGGAGAAACAUACACAGUGUACAGGUGGGGAGCCAAGCGGCCAAUGCCAAGAUGCAGAGACACAGGCUUCACCUUCACCGACUGGCUCCCAUAACCGUCCAUAAAUGCAGCUUUGCCUAGAAAUUUAUCUGGGUUCCCAUAAACUAGACUGCAGUCUGCACCAGUAUCUAUCAGUGCUAGGACCCGCGGUACAUUAGUGGGGGACCAGUGGAUUGCCAGCUCCACAUAUAGCCUCUGGUUGUCUAGUUCCCCCUGCCAAGCUGGCGACCUCGGCCAGUUCCCUAAUCAAACAAGAAAGGCUCUGUAUCUCUGCCUGUCUGCAAAUAGUCCUUGAGUUGCAGCGUCUGGGAGGGAUUAGGUUGAACAACAUUGUUUUGCCCCCCACACCUUAGGCAUUUUCUGGAAUUGCUGCUCCCGGGACAAUUGCCUUCACAGAGUCAACAACAUUCCAUUGGGUUGCCCGUCAAUUUUCUCCCGAGCAACCCCAGCUGCAAGUAAAUCAAUCCACAUCUGCAUGCAGGUCACCUCCUGGAGCCCCUUUUUAUCUGGUGGGGUGGUUAACUGCGGAUGAGGCAUUUUCUCCCUCCUUACGGUGCGGAUUCUCCGGUCCUGCGAAUGGCCUUCUGCCUCCCUGAGGGCUGCCAGAGCAGUAGUCACUUCAUGUAUGCGGCACCCCACAUACUGGGUGAGAACAGCGGCUAGAAAGCCAUAAGGGUUCGGGGUGCUGAACUCAGCACAAGAUCCCUCAUGUGGGAGGUAAAGCGUUCAUCAUCUGGCCCCAUGGUAAUCAGACCAAACAUAGCCUGCCGCAUACCUAUCUCCAAGAGUAUCUGCACCAAAUUAGUAUGUGAUUGCCAUUUACUCACAGUUUGUAGUAUCUCUCUGGCAUCAUUGAAAACAGUCCAUAUGACUGUCAUUAGCCACUUGAUUAAUGUGUGGCCACCUUGCUCUUGUGCCAACCGUUGGCACAGCUGCAGCUGCUGACGAAGGGAGGGGUGAGUUGUGAUAGAAGUCAGCUUCUCCAUCUCAGAGGCGGAACAAAAAAUGCUAUCAGCUCCCUCAGACGCUGCCGGCACUAUUUACCUAAUUCCCACAACUCACUGGGGUUAUAAGCAUAAUAAGAGGCGUGUUCCACCACUGUGGACGGGGUCCCUGGGCUUUCCCCUAGGGUCCCAUCAGCUGCUUAUGUUCUACCUUCUGACGGAUCACAGGAGGAGCCUGCAGCGGAGGAGCCUCCUCCUCCUCAGCAUCAGACCUAAAGGGAGUGUCCUGCCUGAAGGACCGGCUCAAGGUCGCACUAACAGCUCUUGCUAACUCCUGUUCCAGGCUGUUUAUCUGGGCCUCCAAGUACCCUGCUUGCGCCUGGAGGUCUCUCACCCCCAGGUCCUGCUCAAAGCUGUGCACUUGGGCCCCCAGGCAUGCGGCUUGCUCCGGAAGGUCCCUUACCUGUGGCACUGAGCAUGUACUUCCUGCAGUGCAGUUAGAAAUGCCCAUCCGACUCUGCUUGCAAAGACAUCUGCAAUGGCAGUUCACAUGGCUCAGAUAGCUCACUUCUGCAGAGAGCUGAAUUUAAGUGGGACAGGGUAGCAAGAAUAAUUACUUUGACAAUCAUUUUGCCACCUGAUGACUGUGCUGCCUGUCCUGAGCUGAGUGCAGAGAGGGAGACACCCUUACAAAUGGAGAUUUGCUGGAUAGAAAUGUGGCCAAAGAGUUCAAUAAAAGGUUCCUUUAUUUAUAGGCACAGCUGCUUAAAGACUGUUACCGGAAAGGAAUCCUGAUCCAGACGCCAAGAGAGGGUUCUUGGACUCAUGCAAGAAAGACUUCAGUUCUCAGGUCCCUGGACCAUGAAGGGCCACAUCCAAGGAGCUACCCCAGGAGGCCUCUCAUUUGCAUUUGUCCCCGCUAAUGCAGGACAGAGAUCAUGGAAGUUGGGCCCGACUGGAUGAGAUUUGGGGGUCUUUGGAAGUGGAGAAUGUGUUUGCCCUGGGGAAGAGAGGUGAUGUCUAGGAGACCUCUUCACUCAGGGCAAGCUCUAUGACCUGCUUUGACUCCAGAAUGUGGUAGAAGUGGCAUCACAUAAAUUGCAGAGCCUAGGCUUCAAGAGACCUUGCAACUUGCCUCUCACUGACUUGAAGUGCUCCCAUCAGAGCAUCUUGUAAGGAGCAGGUGGAGCAUGUGGACAAGCCAUCCCCACCAGCCCCUGAGACAUGUGAGAGAGGCCAGAACAGGCCAUCCGGACCCCACUGUGCUGGUGGAUGAGACAGCAGAAGGAAUAUCAACCUACCAACAGAAUCCUGAGAAAUGCUCACUCUUACUUCAAGCUGCUGCAUUUUGAUGUUAUGAAACCAUAAAUAACUUAUGAAGUCAUCUUUGCUGACUUAAAGUUUUCCAUAACUUUAUUAUAACAUAUCAAAAUUAUGAAAAAUGUGAAAAGUAGAAAACUGAUGAAUUUUGCUUCUUCAUAUGGUCUUUAAGAAUCUCAAAGGCACUGAAGUUUUUUAUCUUUUCUGUCUUAGAAUAAAAAACCUUGAAUGAAAAUCUGCUUCUUGGAAAAGCAGCAAGGUUUAUGCAGAGGCAAUCUGGUAUUUGUGUGCACUGGCAGCUGAUCAUACCCAGCAUGCACGCACUCUCAGGGCAGAGUCUGAUGCCCCACAUAAUGGGGCAUGGUAAGGACUCCCAUGUCCUUGAGAUAAAAUGAUAAGGAAAAUACACACUGCUAUUAGAAUAACAGGCCCAGCUUCUGCACAUUUUAAUUCCCAAAGUUUUCAUGAAAGACAAUGAUUUUUUGGUACCAUGUUUAACUCUACAAGAAUCAGUAGUGAAAACUAAAAAUGAUACUUUGUGAAAGUUCAUUAAUUUUGUUUUCAGCCAGUGGUGGCCUUGGUCAGAUAGAAUCAAAUCUAUGAUACUUUUUAUCAGAAAUGCUUAUACUGUGUACAAACCCAAAGUGAUGGCUUUCAAAGAUUGAAUUUGAUUAUUUUCUGUAUGGUGCAGAUGAAAAAUUACUACACAGGAGAAGGUGGGUUGGAGGUGCUCACGAGUAACCAGGAAACAGUCUGAAGUUUUUCUGAUACUUCUCCUUGGUCCAACCAAAUGUGAGAUAUAAACACAAACUUGGGAUUCCGUUCUUAUGUUUUGGUUGUUUCAGUCUUUACAGAUGUAUCGAAAGGCUGUCCAAAAAUGUCUGACUUCUGUAGUGUGCCUUCGUAGCACUAGAGGGUUCUGCAGCUGUGAAACUGAAGGCAUUGGCAAGAAGCCCUCCAUCUUCAAACCACUUUCUGCUAAGGUGUGGCUCUAUAAAACCACUAUGAGCUGGGCUUCACUGAGACUGAGUUGUUUCAGUAGGAUCUUCCGGAAAAACAUGUUCCCUCCUUUACCUGGGUUGUCAUUCUGAGAACAAUCACACCUCCAAUUUUGGCUUACUAAGCAAUAGCGUUUUAAUGAUUUUAAGCCAGGAUUUGCUCCUCCUUUCCUCAGUAUGAGAGCUUAACCACUGGAGGAACCAAGAAUUCAUGCUGGUUGGGUUCUGAUUCCACUUUAACUUACUGUAUAGCCUCAUCCCUUGUUUUUCUGGAGAUUCUCUUUUUCUGCUUCACUGAUUUAUAUUUACAUUAAAAUCAAAUGAGGCCAUGUUUCUGAAAUCACAUUGUCCCUACAUGGUCAUUACAAUGAGUCUGUAAUGUGACUGAAAGACAGCCAUGGAUACAGGUAGAGGAUAUCAGGCAAUUGAAUGCUCAUCAAGCAUUCAAUUCAGGGCAAAUGGCAUAAGGUAUGCAGUUGGCCUCUUCUGAUAUCUGUGUCUUAAUCCUUUCUUUAGCCUCUGUUUUCUGGACCAAGGCUAAGAUAUUUUCUGGGCACAGUGGCUCAUGCCUAUAAUCCCAGCACUCUGGGAGGCCAAGGUGGGAGGAUUUCUUCAGCCC